UCUGCUGAAGGCUUUGGUAGCUAAUGUGGUAUGACAUGUGGGUGAUGUGGAGAGGGAAGGGGAGGAAAAGGGGGCAGGAGGCAGAGCCAGGAGUAGUGAGGCUGCUUCAAGGGGCAGGGUUGGUUUGCAUGGAGAAAGGUAAUUUGAGCAGUUCAUCCCAGCCUUCUAGUCUCCUGGCAACAGUGAAGAGCAGACCAUGCUGGGACCACUAUUUUAAUCAACCUAAUUGCAGAUCCUUCCUCUCCUCCCCCAGCAAUCAGCCUCCUGGAAGAUGGAAAACCCUUUUGAGCACGUCAUCUAAAGGACUUGAAGACUCUAGUUUGCCACGCUGCAGUUACACAUUGCUCAGAUCUAUGUAGUACUCUUGUUUCAUGUUCCCUACCUGUAAUCAAGUUGUUACUCUUUUGGGGGGGUUGCAUUUUUUCCCCUGUUAUAUUAAAAUGAAUUUGUUGCUUCAA